UGGGGAAUUUUGGACAAUGGGCGAAAGCCUGAUCCAGCAAUGCCGCGUGUGUGAAGAAGGCCUUCGGGUUGUAAAGCACUUUUGUCCGGAAAGAAAUCCUCUGGGUUAAUACCUCGGGGGGAUGACGGUACCGGAAGAAUAAGCACCGGCUAACUACGUGCCAGCAGCCGCGGUAAUACGUAGGGUGCAAGCGUUAAUCGGAAUUACUGGGCGUAAAGCGUGCGCAGGCGGUUUUGUAAGACGGAUGUGAAAUCCCCGGGCUUAACCUGGGAACUGCAUUCGUGACUGCAAGGCUAGAGUAUGGCAGAGGGGGGUAGAAUUCCACGUGUAGCAGUGAAAUGCGUAGAGAUGUGGAGGAAUACCGAUGGCGAAGGCAGCCCCCUGGGCCAAUACUGACGCUCAUGCACGAAAGCGUGGGGAGCAAAACAGGAUUAGAUACCCUGGUAGUCCACGCCCUAAAACGAUGUCAACUAGUUGUUGGGGAUUCAUUCCUUAGUAACGUAGCUAACGCGUGAAGUUGACCGCCUGGGGAGUACGGUCGUCAAAGAUUAAAACUCAAAUGAAUUGACGGGGUCAUAGCUGUUUCCU
rnacentral:rRNA from 1 species